rnacentral:rRNA from 1 species
UACGAAGGGUGCAAGCGUUACUCGGAAUUACUGGGCGUAAAGCGUGCGUAGGUGGUUUGUUAAGUCUGUUGUGAAAGCCCCGGGCUCAACCUGGGAAUGGCAAUGGAUACUGGCAGGCUAGAGUGCGGUAGAGGGUAGUGGAAUUCCCGGUGUAGCGGUGAAAUGCGUAGAGAUCGGGAGGAACACCAGUGGCGAAGGCGGCAUCCUGGACCGGCAUUGACGCUGAUGAGCGAAAGCGUGGGGAGCAAACAGG